rnacentral:rRNA from 1 species
UACGUAGGGUGCAAGCGUUGUCCGGAAUUAUUGGGCGUAAAGAGCUUGUAGGCGGUUUGUCGCGUCGGCUGUGAAAACUCGGGGCUCAACCCCGAGCCUGCAGUCGAUACGGGCAGACUAGAGUGCGGUAGGGGAGACUGGAAUUCCUGGUGUAGCGGUGAAAUGCGCAGAUAUCAGGAGGAACACCGGUGGCGAAGGCGGGUCUCUGGGCCGUAACUGACGCUGAGGAGCGAAAGCGUGGGGAGCAAACAGG